GGAUGUGGAGGGGCAGGGUGGCAUCUGCCCAGCCCCUGGGAAUUCAGGUGACCUGCUAGCUUGGUGUCCCCUUCCUCCCUCAAUCUUCCUCAUGUAUCCCUUCUCGAAGUUGCACACUCAAAGAAGAUGACCUUCCCAGCAAAAAGAUCGUUCUUCUGGCAAGCAUGUCUUCCCGAGUUUGUUGUGAAGAUCUAAUAAGGUAAUGGAUAUAAAAAUGCUUUAGAAACUGAACGAACUAUACAAAUAUAAGUUAUUAUAUUAUUGUGAUUAAAAAUGUCUCAAAAGGAAACCAUUAAAUC
rnacentral:sRNA from 1 species